UGAAAGCAUUUCAAGACCUGCCCA
rnacentral:piRNA from 1 species